UAUGGCUGUUCGCCAUUUAAAGUGGUACGCGAGCUGGGUUUAGAACGUCGUGAGACAGUUCGGUCCCUAUCUGCCGUGGGCGCUGGAGAACUGAGGGGGGCUGCUCCUAGUACGAGAGGACCGGAGUGGACGCAUCACUGGUGUUCGGGUUGUCAUGCCAAUGGCACUGCCCGGUAGCUAAAUGCGGAAGAGAUAAGUGCUGAAAGCAUCUAAGCACGAAACUUGCCCCGAGAUGAGUUCUCCCUGAGACUUUAGGUCUCCUGAAGGAACGUUGAAGACGACGACGUUGAUAGGCCGGGUGUGUAAGCGCAGCGAUGCGUUGAGCUAACCGGUACUAAUGAACCGUGAGGCUUAACCUUAC
rnacentral:rRNA from 1 species